rnacentral:rRNA from 1 species
UACCUGCAGCUCAAGUGGUGGCCGUUAUUAUUGGGCCUAAAACGUCCGUAGCCGGUUUAUUAAAUGCCUGGGUAAAUCGGGCCGCUUAACGGUUCGAAUUCCGGGUAGACUGAUAGACUUGGGACCGGGAGAAGCUAGAGGUACUCCUGGGGUAGAGGUGAAAUUCUGUAAUCCUGGGGGGACCACCAGUGGCGAAGGCGUCUAGCUAGAACGGGUCUGACGGUGAGGAACGAAGCCCUGGGGCGCAAACCGGAUUAGAUACCCGGGUAGUCCAGGGUGUAAACGCUGCUUGCUUGAUGUUAGUUGGGCUCCGAGCCCAAUUAGUGUCGGAGAGAAGUUGUUAAGCAAGCUGCCUGGGAAGUACGAUCGCAAGAUUGAAACUUAAAGGAAUUGGCGGGGGAGCACAGCAACGGGUGGAGCGUGCGGUUU